rnacentral:lncRNA from 1 species
GACAGAAUUAAAUGCUGUUAUAUCCAAUCUUCUGGAUCCUACACUCUGCUUAUCAAGAUUUCCCACGUUGAUUGUCAGUUCCACCAUCUUCCUGGGGGUGAGUGUAUUUUAAUUAACUUAAAUAAUGCCUUAUCGAUGGCCAUUUAAGUUGUUUCAGUUAUUGCUGCUUAUACAAACAGUGCAGCAACCCAGCAGGGCUUUAUAUGCACGUGUUUAAAGAGUGGGAAUGUGCACAUGUAUCUGCAGCCACUGUCUAUCUCAGUAGGAAUAUGUCUGUAAAAUGACUCCUAGAAACAGAACUGCUAACUCAUAGGUACACGUAUUUACAUUUCUUACAGUUAUUGCCAAUUUAUUCCCCAACAAGCCUGUACUAAUUGUGCUUCCACCAACAGGGUCUCGGGUGUCCUUGUCCCCACGUUCUCUCCGAUACUGGAUGUGGGUGAUGUUCUUGAAAUACUGCAGAUGGGUCAAAAAGAGCGUCUCAAGGUUGCUUGACACGUCAUGCUCUUGGCCACUAGUGGGGUGAACGUUUUUCACAUCUUUACGGCCAAUUUAUUAUUUUCCCCUGGGAAUGGCCAGUUUCUUUCUGUGUUAAUCAGGCAAAGUAACACCAACUGCUGCCAUGGACAGUCUGAAAUCCGCGUGGCCGAACACGAUUGCUUUGUUUUCUGCUGCCUCCUCCUGCAACCCAGAAAAGAUGCGGCUCGCCAUGUGCCCUGCCACGGUGGGCUGCCGGCACCCCUCGGGGUGGGGACGACGGCUGGGGGUCUCAGCACUACGGGCUCCUGCUCGGCUGUCACUGGCUUGACGUCUUCCCCAAGCCCUGGAAUGGAAGCUCUGCGGCUCCCCACCUCCUGCAGCGUCAGGUUUUGA